rnacentral:rRNA from 1 species
CACGUAGGGGGCAAGCGUUGUCCGGAUUUAUUGGGCGUAAAGAGCUCGUAGGCGGUUCGGUAAGUUGGGUGUGAAACCUCCAGGCUCAACCUGGAGACGCCACCCGAUACUGCUGUGACUAGAGUCCGGUAGGGGAGCGUGGAAUUCCUGGUGUAGCGGUGAAAUGCGCAGAUAUCAGGAGGAACACCAGCGGCGAAGGCGGCGCUCUGGGCCGGAACUGACGUUGAGGAGCGAAAGCGUGGGUAGCAAACAGG